GACGAACGCUGGCGGCGUGCUUAACACAUGCAAGUCGAACGGAGAGGCCCUGCUUUUGUGGGGUGCUCGAGUGGCGAACGGGUGAGUAACACGUGAGUAACCUGCCCUUGACUUUGGGAUAACUUCAGGAAACUGGGGCUAAUACCGGAUAGGAGCUCCUGCUGCAUGGUGGGGGUUGGAAAGUUUCGGCGGUUGGGGAUGGACUCGCGGCUUAUCAGCUUGUUGGUGGGGUAGUGGCUUACCAAGGCUUUGACGGGUAGCCGGCCUGAGAGGGUGACCGGCCACAUUGGGACUGAGAAACGGGCCAGACUCCUACGGGAGGCAGGAGUGGGGAAUAUUGCACAAUGGGCGGAAGCCUGAUGCAGCAACGCCGCGUGCGGGAUGACGGCCUUUGGGUUGGAAACCGCUUUCGCCUGGGACGAAGCGUGAGUGACGGUAAUGGGUAAAGAAGCACCGGCUAACUACGUG
rnacentral:rRNA from 1 species